rnacentral:rRNA from 1 species
AUUGAACGCUGGCGGCGUGCUUAACACAUGCAAGUCGAUCGGUAACGCGGGGGCAACCCUGGCGACGAGAGGCGGACGGGUGAGGAACGCUUGUGAAUCUGCCUAUCAGCGGGGGACAACACGGGGAAACUCGUGCUAAUACCGCAUACGCUCUACGGAGGAAAGCCGGGGACCGCAAGGCCUGGCACUGAUAGAUGAGCCCAAGCCGGAUUAGCUAGUUGGCGGGGUAACGGCCCACCAAGGCGACGAUCCGUAGCUGGUCUGAGAGGACGAUCAGCAACACUGGGACUGAGACACGGCCCAGACUCCUAAGGGAGGCAGCAGUGGGGAAUAUUGGACAAUGGGGGAAACCCUGAUCCAGCGACGCCGCGUGGGUGAAGAAGGCCUGCGGGUUGUAAAGCCCUUUCGGUAGGGACGAAAGCUCUCGACCUAACACGUCGGGAGGUUGACUUAACCUACAAAAGAAGCACCGGCUAACUCUGUGCCAGCCGCCGCCGUAAUAC